rnacentral:rRNA from 1 species
UACGUAGGCAGUAAGCGUUGUUCGGAGUUACUGGGCGUAAAGGGUGUGUAGGCGGUUGGAUAAGUGUGGUGUGAAAUCUCCCGGCUUAACUGGGAGGGUGCGCUACAAACUGUCUGACUAGAGUGUGGGAUGGGAAAGUGGAAUUCCUGGUGUAGCGGUGAAAUGCGUAGAUAUCAGGAGGAACACCGGUGGUGUAGACGGCUUUCUGGACCAUAACUGACGCUGAGACGACGAAGCGUGGGGAGCGAACAGG